rnacentral:rRNA from 1 species
UACAGAGGGUGCAAGCGUUAAUCGGAAUUACUGGGCGUAAAGCGUGCGUAGGUGGUUCUUUAAGUCUGGUGUGAAAUCCCUGGGCUCAACCUGGGAGCUGCAUUUGAUACUGGAGAGCUAGAGUGUGGUAGAGGAUGGUGGAAUUCCCGGUGUAGCGGUGAAAUGCGUAGAUAUCGGGAGGAACAUCAGUGGCGAAGGCGGCCAUCUGGACCAACACUGACACUGAGGCACAAAAGCGUGGGGAGCAAACAGG